rnacentral:sRNA from 1 species
AAAAAAAAGAGAGAGAGAAGGAGAAGGAGCAGAAUCGUUAGGGUUUGGGAGGAAUCAAUUUCAUCACAUCAAAUCGUUGUUAAAAGUAACGAAAUUUGGUAGAGUUAUUCCCAAAUCUUUUAUCGUUAUUCUCCAGUUUACAGAAGUGGAUUUGGAUUUAAAUUGGUUGAGUUAUUCGCAAGACACGUUUUCUCAGACGCGAAUUAGGACCAGCGGGGAUUAAAACUGAGAUCGUGUCUGGUCUGUUUUCUGAUCGGCACGAGUUUUUGUGGGCAACUUUGUGACAUCUACGGCUAGCGUUUCACCGGAGGGAUUUAAUAGUAAACGGUUAGUUUGUAUUUUAGGGUUUCGUCUUUAAGACUGUUUGUUUUUGUUUUUCAUGUCCAGUUUGCUUCAAGGUUGCUUUUGGUUGUGACUUGUUGUAGGACGUUUCUGGACUGGUUUAGACGCAAAGUGAGUCUCUCUUGGGUUUAAUUAUUUGUUAAAAUU